UUCCGUCUUCCGUCUUCGUUGAAAAUGCGCAAAGUCGAAGGAACCCAGAAUGGGUUUAGUGAUAGCACUCUCCCUCGUUAAACCCUCUCCUUCUGUCUCGCCGCAACGCAAUCCUCCGAAACGCCAUGGUUGUUUCCUCCGAGGUUGGUAGCUGAUAUACCGAAAGAAGUUGUCGGAUCGUAUAUGUAUGUCGCGUUUGCUAUCGGAUUUGUUUGGGGUUUAUUGAGAUCGAGCUGGUGUUUUUGCAAUACAAAUUUUAAGGGAUUUUAUUUAUAUCUUGAUUUGGCUGUAGAAGAGUUCUUUCUUUGAGGCUAUUGAAUUUGGUGUUUUGUGGAGAUUUGGUCAGCUAUUAGAGAUGGUCUGAGAUCUGGUAAUUCAAGGCAAAAGGGUUCUGAUUUGAAUAAGGAGAGGAGCACUGGUUUGGAGACUACUGCUUUAUGUCCAGAUGCUUCGCUAAUAUGAAACUACUCAUCUGAAGUCAUAAUGUCGAGGUUUGUCUUAGACAAUACCUUGCAUUCUGUAGCAUAGCAUACAUGUCCUUCAUAAGAUGGCCAGUUGUGUUCGGGUGGACGUUAGGGUUGAUGAAAUUUAUGUAUUGGAUGCUUGCUCAUUGGCAUCACUAUUCAGCAGAUGAAGGGACACUUGGUUCGUGAUGUAGAUACUAUAUAUGUGACAUUUUUAUCGCGUGGAGAAUUCAUACAUGUGGUCAUCUUAUCUAUUUUCCUUGCAUUAAAAUAAAUAUGCGGAUUUAUGCAGAAUAUGAUGUUGGAAACUCAUGGUUUGGGGGAUUUUUCUGCAUCUGGGUCACUACCAGACUUAGUAAUCAAGUUGUUCCGAACAUAGGAUUUGUAGUUUACAUUCCAUGCUAUUGGAUGGUUUGACUCCUCAUUUUCUCUUUCAAUAUGAGACAGUCGUUAGUUUUCACUUGCCAAACUAAGAACACCGCAAAGGUUGAUACUCUUAUUCAUGGUCUCCUUCGAUGGCUAAUGUCCAUUUGGCCAGUCGGGCCUUAUGAUUUUGCAUCUACAAAAGAUGGUUUAGGUUAAGUGCAAAUAUUUCUUGUACAGCGUAACACGAAAUUGAUGCCUGUUGGUUACUGUCAUAGCACAAUACAAGCCAGCAAGUCAAGGAUCUCCUAGGGGAGGGGGAUUCAUUGCAUUACACUAGCUCACGGAUCUUUCGUUGGGAUGCAGAGUGCAAUCAGCUUGGUACACACAUUUUGGUAAGGUGUCCAAUCCAAUGGGUCAACAAGGACGAUGUACAAAUCUAACGAGUACUAGGUGAGAUCAUUAUAGUCAACCUUCUAAGCUCUUAUCUAAUUCAUAUAUUUUUGGUUGAUUUGAUUGUGUUAUGUAUGUAUAUGGUCCCAAACGUAGUGAUUCACAUGGUGUUCUUAUCCAUAGACUAGAACUGCCGUCUUUUAAAAGUGGUAUGAUUGACAACAACCGACUAUCUUUUAUCAUUUAAUUUUUUCCAAGUUUGUUUUGAAAGUCCUUGUAGGAGUGGUAUAUGGUGAUGGAUUUUGAUGUUUUGGUUCUGUAUUGGUGGCUCUGAGGCUGAGGGAGGCUUCAUGCAUAGCGUAGUAGUAGUAUAUCAUGGAUUAGUGGGUAACUGGGUAUGGUUUCAAUUGGUUUGACUUGUCAAUGGGCCGGUGUAGUCAAUUUAUAAUUGUCACUAAUAGGCAAAAGCAUUCUCUUGAUUUCCACGUUUUUGUGUCUAUGAAAUGGGUAGUAAUCAUCACAUCACAGGAAUUUCAUGUCAUCUUUCACUUUGCUUAUAUGAUAUUGACAGAAAUCAACUAAAUGAAUUGUUAGCGAGUUUCAUGAAAAAAGAUGCAUUCUGAAGGGGACUUCAGAUAGAAAUGUUUUAAGUAGAACUGGGUGAAUCUGAGAGCUGUGGUCAACUGCUCAUCUGAUGGAGCUGAUAUAUAUAUCCAUGCAGAGAGAUCGAUUAUGAAAGGCCUCAAGGACGUUGAUGGCUAAUUAUGCUUUUUAUACUAUUUUCUUUUUUAAUUUCCAAAGUAUAUUACUUUAUGGUCGGUGUUUUGGAUUAUUCUGUGGAAAUUAUUAUAUUAGAUUUCUGAGAGUAGUUAUGAUAAAAACCGACAAUACUAUUGAUAAAACAAACAACAUACAACGACAAUUUUACUUAACCAUGUUUCC